GCGUCUAUAUACGUAUAGCAUAUCAAUAAGCGGAGGAAAAGAAACUAACUAGGAUUCCCUUAGUAACGGCGAGUGAAGCGGGAAGAGCUCAAAUUUGAAAUCUUCAAGGUUUUACCUUGACGAAUUGUAGUUUAAAGAAGUGUUUUCUGUUGGAAGUUUUCGGUAGAAAGUUCUUUGGAAUAGGACAUCAUAGAGGGUGAGAAUCCCGUAUUUGACCAUUAUUUUCAGCUGUGUGAUACACUUUCAAAGAGUCGGAUUGUUUGGGAAUGCAGUCCAAAAUGGGUGGUAAAUUUCAUCUAAAGCUAAAUAUUGGCGAGAGACCGAUAGCGAACAAGUACCGUGAGGGAAAGAUGAAAAGAACUUUGAAAAGAGAGUUAAACAGUACGUGAAAUUGUCAAAAGGGAAGCGUUUGACACCAGUGUUGUUUUCUCGAAAAUCAAUUAAAAAUGGCUUGAUUUUGUGUUGUAUUGACCUUAAAAGCUUUCUUCACUUUUUUCAUGUCUUUUUUAAUGCACUUUUCGUUUAACAGGUCAACAUCAGUUUCUUUUGUUGUAAAAAGGUCAUUGGAAGGUGGCUUUCUUUUCGGAGAAAGUGUUUAUAGCCUUUGACUUCUGCAAUCGGAGAGACUGAGGUCUGCAGCGUAGACCCUUCUUGGAUUAGAUUCAUUUGUGCUAAGUUACAACCGUUUAUAGACAACUUGUUGACUAUAUUCGAUCCUGUAGCUUACUCGCUUAUGUAAUUUUACCUACGCUUAGGAUGUUGACUGAUAUGUAGUCGUA
rnacentral:rRNA from 1 species